rnacentral:rRNA from 1 species
UGGGGAAUCUUAGACAAUGGGGGCAACCCUGAUCUAGCCAUGCCGCGUGAGUGAUGAAGGCCUUAGGGUUGUAAAGCUCUUUCAGCUGGGAAGAUAAUGACGGUACCAGCAGAAGAAGCCCCGGCUAACUCCGUGCCAGCAGCCGCGGUAAUACGGAGGGGGCUAGCGUUGUUCGGAAUUACUGGGCGUAAAGCGCACGUAGGCGGACCAGAAAGUUGGGGGUGAAAUCCCGGGGCUCAACCUCGGAACUGCCCUCAAAACUAUUGGUCUGGAGUUCGAGAGAGGUGAGUGGAAUUCCGAGUGUAGAGGUGAAAUUCGUAGAUAUUCGGAGGAACACCAGUGGCGAAGGCGGCUCACUGGCUCGAUACUGACGCUGAGGUGCGAAAGCGUGGGGAGUAAACAGGAUUAGAUACCCUGGUAGUCCACGCCGUAAACGAUGAAUGCCAGACGUCGGGCAGCAUGCUGUUCGGUGUCACACCUAACGGNUUAAGCAUUCCGCCUGGGGAGUACGGUCGC